AACGAACGCUGGCGGCAGGCUUAACACAUGCAAGUCGAACGCCCCGCAAGGGGAGUGGCAGACGGGUGAGUAACGCGUGGGAAUCUACCGUACCCUACGGAAUAACGCAUGGAAACGUGUGCUAAUACCGUAUACGCCCUACGGGGGAAAGAUUUAUCGGGGUAUGAUGAGCCCGCGUUGGAUUAGCUAGUUGGUGGGGUAAAGGCCUACCAAGGCGACGAUCCAUAGCUGGUCUGAGAGGAUGAUCAGCCACAUUGGGACUGAGACACGGCCCAAACUCCUACGGGAGGCAGCAGUGGGGAAUAUUGGAUAAUGGGCGCAAGCCUGAUCCAGCCAUGCCGCGUGAGUGAUGAAGGUCUUAGGAUUGUAAAGCUCUUUCACCGGAGAAGAUAAUGACGGUAUCCGGAGAAGAAGCCCCGGCUAACUUCGUGCCAGCCGCCGCUGUAAGAC
rnacentral:rRNA from 1 species